CCGCCGCGCUUCGACGUCGCCCCUGUCCCCGUCCCGCCCGCCGCCCCCGCCAACCCCGCCGCCGGGGACAUGUCCAACCCCUGAAGCCGGAGGAACGGGCCAGUCAGACUGCGCCCGACAGGGGGUACUUUUCUAACUAUGUGCUCAUACAAACUUUAGAGCAAACUUUCUCUUACUCUCCCCACCCUCCCCCUUCCUUUUUCUAAAUGGAAAAUAAUGUCCGGAGGGGUUGCUAGAUAGAAGACUACACUUACAAAGUGUUUAUGAUUCCAGGCGCAUGAAAUCUUUAACAUUACAGGUAUAUUGAAAAGUCUGAUUCAGUUACAAUCAGUGUAUGGAAUCACAAGAAGAUCCAUAAGAAACAAGGUGCUGGAUUUCUCCGUUGUGUUCGUCUUUUUCCAGUGCCAUCAACCACCUCAAAGACACUGGUUAUCAGAGGUUGGAUUUAUGCAAACUUGGGCCAAAGGACAGUUAGAAGACAGUAGUAAGUCUUCAGUCCAGGGACCAAAUCGGCACAGGAGGACAAGUUGUGGACUGCAGUCAUUUAUUUGAUAAUGAUUUACCAGACAA
rnacentral:lncRNA from 10 species